UGGGGAAUAUUGCACAAUGGAGGGAACUCUGAUGCAGCGACGCCGCGUGAACGAAGAAGGCUUUCGAGUCGUAAAGUUCUUUUAUAUGGGAAGUUAAUGACGGUACCAUAAGAAAAAGCCUCGGCUAACUACGUGCCAGUAGCCGCGGUAAUACGUAGGGGGCUAGCGUUGUCCGGAAUCACUGGGCGUAAAGGGUUCGCAGGCGGAAAUGCAAGUCAGAUGUAAAAGGCAGUAGCUUAACUACUGUAAGCAUUUGAAACUGCAUAUCUUGAGAAGAGUAGAGGUAAGUGGAAUUUUUAGUGUAGCGGUGAAAUGCGUAGAUAUUAAAAAGAAUACCGGUGGCGAAGGCGGCUUACUGGGCUCAUUCUGACGCUAAGAAACGAACGCGUGAGUAGCAAACAGG
rnacentral:rRNA from 1 species